GAAAGUAAAAGUCGUAACAAGGUCUCCGUUGGUGAACCAGCGGAGGGAUCAUUACAGAGUUGCAAAACUCCCAAACCAUUGUGAACGUUACCUAUCCCGUUGCUUCGGCGGGCGGCCCGGGCCCCGCGCCCGGCGCCCCCCGGCCCCCCGUGGGCGCCCGCCGGAGGUAAACCAAACCCUUGAAUUGCAUGGCCUCUCUGAGUCUUCUGUACUGAAUAAGUCAAAACUUUCAACAACGGAUCUCUUGGUUCUG
rnacentral:misc_RNA from 1 species